GCACCUUCAUAGCUCAGUUGGUAGAGCACAUGACUUUAAGAAGUUCCUGAAAAGCUGUGGUCCAAAUGGUCGCUGGUUCAACUCCAGCUCCAAUCACCG